rnacentral:rRNA from 1 species
UACAGAGGUCUCAAGCGUUGUUCGGAUUCAUUGGGCGUAAAGGGUGCGUAGGUGGCGGGGUAAGUCGGAUGUGAAAUCCCGGGGCUCAACCUCGGAACUGCAGUCGAUACUACUCAGCUAGAGUAUGGGAGAGGGUAGUGGAAUUCCCGGUGUAGCGGUGAAAUGCGUAGAUAUCGGGAGGAACAUCAGUGGCGAAGGCGGCUACCUGGCCCAAUACUGACACUCAGGUGCGACGACGUGGGAGCAAACAGGGAUAGAAACCCGAGU